rnacentral:rRNA from 1 species
GACGAACGCUGGCGGCGUGCUUAACACAUGCAAGUCGAACGGAAAGGCCUCUUUCGGGGGGUACUCGAGUGGCGAACGGGUGAGUAACACGUGAGUAACCUGCCCUUGACUUUGGGAUAACUUCAGGAAACUGGGGCUAAUACCGGAUAGGAGCUCCUGCUGCAUGGUGGGGGUUGGAAAGUUUCGGCGGUCGGGGAUGGACUCGCGGCUUAUCAGCUUGUUGGUGGGGUAGUGGCUUACCAAGGCUUUGACGGGUAGCCGGCCUGAGAGGGUGACCGGCCACAUUGGGACUGAGAUACGGCCCAGACUCCUACGGGAGGCAGCAGUGGGGAAUAUUGCACAAUGGGUGGAAGCCUGAUGCAGCAACGCCGUGUGCGGGAUGACGGCCUUCGGGUUGUAAACCGCUUUCGCUCAUGACGAAGCUUUGUGUGACGGUAGUGGGUAAAGAAGCACCGGCUAACUACGUG